AUUGAACGCUGGCGGAAUGCUUUACACACGCAAGUCGAACGGCAGCACGGACUUCGGUCUGGUGGCGAGUGGCGAACGGGUGAGUAAUGUAUCGGAACGUGCCCAGUUGUGGGGGAUAACGUAGUGAAAAUUACGCUAAUACCGCAUACGAUCUAUGGAUGAAAGCGGGGGAUCGCAAGACCUCGCGCGAUUGGAGCGGCCGAUAUCAGAUUAGGUAGUUGGUGGGGUAAAGGCCCACCAAGCCAACGAUCUGUAGCGGGUCUGAGAGGACGACCAGCCACACUGGAACUGAGACACGGUCCAGACUCCUACGGGAGGCAGCAGUGGGGAAUUUUGGACAAUGGGCGAAAGCCUGAUCCAGCCAUUCCGCGUGCAGGAUGAAGGCCCUCGGGUUGUAAACUGCUUUUGUACAGAACGAAAAGGUUUCUACUAAUACUAGGAGCUCAUGACGGUACUGUAAGAAUAAGCACCGGCUAACUACGUGCCAGCAGCCGCCGUAA
rnacentral:rRNA from 1 species